rnacentral:rRNA from 1 species
UACGUAGGGUGCAAGCGUUAUUCGGAAUUACUGGGCGUAAAGCGUGCGCAGGCGGUUUUGUAAGUCUUUCGUGAAAUCCCCGGGCUUAACCUGGGAAUGGCGAUGGAGACUGCAAGGCUAGAGUUUGGCAGAGGGGGGUAGAAUUCCACGUGUAGCAGUGAAAUGCGUAGAGAUGUGGAGGAACACCGAUGGCGAAGGCAGCCCCCUGGGUCAAAACUGACGCUCAUGCACGAAAGCGUGGGGAGCAAACAGG